rnacentral:rRNA from 1 species
UGAAUACGAGAUGCUACGGCGUCGAAGCAGUGUAUGUCAGACUUCCAAGAAAAGCUCGCAAUGUCAUAAAUAAAGAAUGCCUGUACCAUAACCGACACAGGUGGGUAGGUAGAGUAUACUAAGGGGCGCGAGAUAACUCUCUCUAAGGAACUCGGCAAAAUAACUCCGUAACUUCGGGAGAAGGAGUGCCUUCUUUAAGAAGGUUGCAAUAACAAGAUCCAAGCAACUGUUUAUCAAAAACACAGGUCUCCGCUAAGUCGUAAGACGAUGUAUGGGGGCUGACGCCUGCCCAGUGCCAGAAGGUUAAAGAAGUUGGUUAGCUUUUGCGAAGCUGAUGACUGAAGCCCUGGUGAACGGCGGCCGUAACAAUAACGGUCCUAAGGUAGCGAGAUUCCUUGUCGGGUAAGUUCCGACCCGCACGAAAGGCGUAAUGAUUUGGAUACUGUCUCGGAGAGGGACUCGGUGAAAUAGACUUGUCUGUGAAGAUGCGGACUACCUGCACCAGGACAGAAAGACCCUAUGAAGCUUUACUGUAACUUGAAAUUGAAAUUGGACUUUAUUUGCGCAGUAUAGGUGGAAGGCGUUGAAAGUAAUCUUGCGGGAUUAGUGGAGCCAUCAGUGAGAUACCACUCCUAUAAUGUUAGGUUUCUAACUUUGGAUCAUGAUCUGGUCAAAGAACAGUUUCAGGCGGGCAGUUUGACUGGGGCGGUCGCCUCCCAAAUGGUAACGGAGGCGUACAAAGGUUUCCUCUGAACGGGUAGAAAUCGUAUCUAGAGUGUAAAGGCAUAAGGAAGCUUGACUGUGAGACCUACAAGUCGAGCAGGGACGAAAGUCGGUCUUAGUGAUCUGACGGUGCUGAGUGGAAAGGCCGUCACUCAACGGAUAAAAGUUACUCUAGGAUAACAGGCUGAUCUCCCCCAAGAGUUCACAUCGACGGGGAGGUUUGGCACCUCGAUGUCGGCUCAUCGCAUCCUGGGGCGGUAGUACGUCCCAAGGGUUGGGCUGUUCGCCCAUGAAAGCGGUACGCGAGCUGGGUUCAGAACGUCGUGAGACAGUUCGGUCCAUAUCCGGUGUAGGCGUUAGAAUAUUGAGAGGAGCCUUCUUUAGUACGAGAGGACCGAGAAGGACAUACCUCUGGUGUACCAGUUAUCGUGCCAACGGUAAACGCUGGGUAGCUAUGUAUGGAGAGGAUAACCGCUGAAAGCAUCUAAGUGGGAAGCCCACCUCAAGAUGAGUAUUCUCA